UUAAGUGAUGAUAGCCUAGGAGAUACACCUGUUCCCAUGCCGACCACAGAAUUUAAGCCCUAGAACGCCUGAAUUAGUUGGGGUUUCCCCCUGUUUGAUAUGGUAGUCGCUUAGC
rnacentral:rRNA from 1 species